rnacentral:lncRNA from 1 species
AUGUCACUGGGGGCCGUCACACCCUGCCCAGGCCCAGGAAGGAAUUAUUGUCAGAUGAAAAUGUUCCUUCAGCAAGUCUGCUCCGUCACUUGGGGACACUGCCACUGUGACAGUCAGCAGGAACAGGAGGAGAAAAAGAGGGAGAGAGAAAGAAAGAGAGACAAGGACAGAGAAAGAGAGAGAAAGGAAGAGAAAGAGAAGGAAAGAGAAGCAAAGAGAGAGAAAGAGACGGAAAGAGAGAAGGAAAGAGAGAAAAGAAGAGAAAGAGAAGGAAAGGGAAAGAAGAGAAGGAAAGAGAGAAAGAAAAGGAAAGAGGGAGAGAAGGAGAGAGAAAGAGGAGGAAAGAGAGAAAGAAGAGAAGGAAAGAGAAGCAAAGAGAGAGAAAGAGACGGAAAGAGAGAAGGAAAGAGAGAAAAGAAGAGAAAGAGAAGGAAAGAGAGAGAAGGAAAGGGAAAGAAGAGAAGGAAAGAGAGAAAGAAAAGGAAAGAGGGAGAGAAGGAGAGAGAAAGGAGGAAAGAGAGAAAGAAGAGAAGGAAAGAAGAGAAGGAAAGAGAGAGAAGGAAAGAUAAGAGAGGGAAAGGGAAAGAGAGAAAUAGGAAAGAGAGAAGGAAAGAGAAAGAGAAGGAAAGAGAGAAAGAAAAUGAAAGAGAGAAGAGAAGGAAAGAGAAAGAAAAGGAAAGGAGAGAGAAGGAGAGAGAAAGAGGAGGAAAGAGAAGAGAGAAAGAAGGAAAGAGAAAAAGAAAGAAAGAAAAGAAAGAAGGAAAGAGAAAGAAUGAAAGAGAGAAAGAGAAGGAAAGAGAAAUAAAAUGAAAGAGAAAGAAAAGGAAAGAGAGAAAGAAAAGUCAGAUAAGAGAGGAAAAGAGAAGGAAAGAGAAAAAGGAGUGAAAGAAGGAAAGAGAAAGAAAAGGAAAGAGAAGAGAGGGAGAGAAGGAGAGAGAAAGAGGGGGAAAGAAAAAAGCAAAGAGAAGGGAAGAGAAAGAAGGAAAGAGGAAGAAAAGGAAAGAGAGAGGAGAGAGAAAGAGGAAGAAAAAGAGAAGCAAAGAGAGAAAGAGAAGAGAGAGAAAGAGAAAAGAAAAGGAAAGAGAGAAGAAGGAGAAAAGAGAAGAUGCCAGCUUGGUGAGAGGGUGCAGCGAUAAAGCACAAGUCUGGGAACAGGACAGAGAAAAGACAGGGACAAGAAAAAGGAGAGAGGAAGAGCAGUGGAGGCGAGUAGGAGAGACAUAAAGAACCAUAGAACCAUUUAGGUUAGGAAAGAACUGUGAGAUGUUUCCAUUGACCAAAAAUUGUUAUGCAGAUGAAAUUCACCUCAUCUUGUUUCUAAGUGCAGCCAAUUUUGUAAGGAACAGAGCUUAAAUAAAGAUAUCUUUUCCAUAUCUGUAGUUUUUCA